rnacentral:rRNA from 1 species
GACGAACGCUGGCGGCGUGCUUAACACAUGCAAGUCGAACGGAAAGGCCCUGCUUUUGUGGGGUGCUCGAGUGGCGAACGGGUGAGUAACACGUGAGUAACCUGCCCUUGACUUUGGGAUAACUUCAGGAAACUGGGGCUAAUACCGGAUAGGAGCUCCUGCUGCAUGGUGGGGGUUGGAAAGUGUCGGCGGUUGGUGAUGGACUCGCGGCUUAUCAGCUUGUUGGUGGGGUAGUGGCUUACCAAGGCUUUGACGGGUAGCCGGCCUGAGAGGGUGACCGGCCACAUUGGGACUGAGAUACGGCCCAGACUCCUACGGGAGGCAGCAGUGGGGAAUAUUGCACGAUGGGCGGAAGCCUGAUGCAGCAACGCCGCGUGCGGGAUGACUGCCUUCGGGGUGUAAACCGCUUUCGCCUGUGACGAAGCGUGAGUGACGGUAAUGGGUAAAGAAGCACCGGCUAACUACGUG